UGGUGUACUGUAAGGUCUUCAUGGUAAUGUAAUGUGUAUCAGUGAAUAGUGUAUUGAUGGUGUACUGUAAGGUCUUCAUGGUAAUGUAAUGUGUAUCAGUGAAUAGUGUGUUAAUGGUGUACUGUAAGGUCUUCAUGGUAAUGUAAUGUGUAUCAGUGAAUAGUGUAUUGAUGGUGUACUGUAAGGUCUUCAUGGUAAUGUAAUGUGCAUCAGUGAAUAGUGUAUUGAUGGUGUACUGUAAGGUCUUCAUGGUAAUGUAAUGUGUAUCAGUGAAUAGUGUAUUGAUGGUGUACUGUAAGGUCUUC